AUUGAACGCUAGCGGGAUGCUUUACACAUGCAAGUCGAACGGCAGCGCGGACUUCGGUCUGGCGGCGAGUGGCGAACGGGUGAGUAAUGUAUCGGAACGUGCCCAGUAGCGGGGGAUAACUACGCGAAAGCGUAGCUAAUACCGCAUACGCCCUACGGGGGAAAGCAGGGGAUCGUAAGACCUUGCACUAUUGGAGCGGCCGAUAUCGGAUUAGCUAGUUGGUGAGGUAACGGCUCACCAAGGCGACGAUCCGUAGCUGAUUUGAGAGGACGACCAGCCACACUGGGACUGAGACACGGCCCAGACUCCUACGGGAGGCAGCAGUGGGGAAUUUUGGACAAUGGGGGCAACCCUGAUCCAGCCAUCCCGCGUGUGCGAUGAAGGCCUUCGGGUUGUAAAGCACUUUUGGCAGGAAAGAAACGUCGCGGGCUAAUACCCCGUGGAACUGACGGUACCUGCAGAAUAAGCACCGGCUAACUACGUG
rnacentral:rRNA from 1 species